rnacentral:tRNA from 1 species
GCCUGGGUAGCUCAGUGGUAGAGCUCCUGACUAAGUUUCAGGGGUCCCGGGUUAGAUUCCCAACCCAGCA